UUAUAGAUACGGAGAUCUCGUCCCACUCAGCCCGUUCGGCAAAGUGGUUGGCGGUAUGUGCGCAAUGAUUGGUGUUCUCACUUUGGCACUUCCAGUUCCAAUCAUUGUAAGAGAAA
rnacentral:sRNA from 14 species